UUUACCUAGUUUAAGGAUUAGUACAAAAGGAAACAUUGACAGGGAGCUAGUUUGAAGGUGUUGGAUAUCUUAAAAAAAAAAAAAGGAAAGAGAGUGAGUAGUGAUAAGAGUUUUCAAAAGAAGAAGAAAGAAAUUGAUAGUAGAGAAAAACCUUGAGAAAUAAAACAAGAAUGAUUAGUUGUGAUGGAAAUAGUCUUUUGAUGAAGGGUUUACAUUAGUAGAUAGGAUUGGAUAAAUUACUUAUCUUAUGUCUAGAAUCAAUGAGAGUAUAAUUUAGUUAGAAAACUAUUGAGAAGCUUGGUGAUGGUGUCCAUGGUGGUUGUGAUGGAGAUGUUGAGGAUCAUGAUCUUAGGAUGAUAAAUCUUGCUCAAACAACCAAGUUAGUCUAUAUUAACAACGAUCAAUUCAAAGGAUUAACCGGUGGAUUGAGGAAUACAAGGUAGGCGUGGCUUGUCAUCAAACCAGGUGGGAACUAUGUAACCUACUUGUAAUCAUUAAAUUUACUUUAUCUGCGAGCACGAUGAGUCUUUAAUUUCUGUGAACUUGUUGUUUAUAAUCGAUAGAAUGAGUAUGUUGUGUGAUA